GGCCCCUGUUUCACUGUGGAAAGAUGACUGGUCAGGUGGCAGGUACAGCCGGCAUCCUCCCUGGCAUUGUUACAUCCACUUGCAUAGCAGCACCUAUUCAGAGAGGAGGGAAUGGAGGCCCCGGACUUAGGUUGUUGCCUCAGAGCACAGCAGAUGUGGCAUUGGAACUCAUAUCUUUCUGACUCCAUAGCCUGGUUCUGCCUACCUCCCAGAAGAGAUACAAGCAGCUCAGGGUACAGGAAAGGUGAAUGGACCUACCGGAGGCUUUAGAAUCCAGGCCUUGUUUCUUGAUGGGGACUUUGCUCUCUGUUAGCUGGUAGAGUCAUAGCCACUUGUAGGAGCCUCCAUUGGCUUCAUCUGUUUGGGCUGGGGUUCCCAGAGACCACCCUUCUUCCCCAUAUGCUUUCAUCUCCUUCUGCUUCUUCUCUUCCUCCCCCUAAAAGGGCGUCAGGUCUUCCUCUGUCCCCUUACCCUUGCCAGUUCCCUCCAAAGCUACUUGGGAUCCCGGAAAGGUACUGAGGGUGAUGAAGCAAAAUUUGCACUGUUCUGCGAGUAACUUUCCAUCAUUUGAAGCUAAAAAUAAAGUGUGUGCUUGCCCCUCCUUGCUGUGCAUGGGUUUUCUUUUGGGGCUUUUGUGGGAGCCACUUGCCUCCAUUCCUGCUUCCCCUUAGCAGGAUCAGGGGUGGGUUUUAUGAUCUCCCUCCCUGGAGAGCAGAACCUUGGGACCUCUGUAAGGAGGCACCUCUGGUCCUCUGUGGCAGUGAGUGGCACUGUGGUGGCUUUGCCACAUGUGGGGAUGCCAACUGGAGCUAAAAACAGACUGGUCACCUUUAGAGCACUUUCUUUGUGCAGGCUGUUUCUUUUUCAUAUCUAGGAUGCACAGAGGCAAGGGAGAUAAAAUUAGUUUGUUCAAUUAAUUUUGUAAAUAUUGACUAAGCAGAAGUUUUACGCCAAGUCACAUGACAGGGACCCAAGAGCUUACCCAAAAACAACAUGACACAGUGCCUUCUUGAAGGUGUUUAUCCUUGAGGUAGAGAAAGAAGGAUGUGUUAAGACAGUACAGAGUGCAGAGCCAUAGGGUCCUGCUUCUACCCAACCUUUCUUCCAGAAUUAGCUGGUGAAGUCAAACCAUGCCAUAUCCCUUUCUUCUCUCUUAAGCCACUGAGGUCUCCCCUGCAAUUUUUUGGUGUGCUUAUUAUGUGCGAGACUGGUGUAAUAUUUUCCUAGCAUUCAUUUUAUAAGCUGUUCUUGAGCCUGUGAAGUAACUGUUCUUGCUCUUGUUUUCCAGCUGAUGAAACUGAGGCCCCAAAAGGUUAAUUGACUUACUCAAAGCCCCCUGGCUGAAAUGUUGCCAUCUGGGUUCAGAUCCAAGCAGGGUCUUGCUAUAUUGCCCAGGUUGGCCUCAAACUCCUGGGCUCCGUGGUCCUUCUAACUCAGUGUCUGAGGUAGCUGGGGCUACAGGUGCAUGCCACCGUGCCUGGCUCGAACCAUGAUCUCUUUAUCUAGAGCUGGCAGAGAAAGAAGACACUUUAAAGCAUUCUGCAAAUCGCAGUGCUGCAUGAAAUGAAAGACGUGAAAAGGGGUGUGUGUUUAGAAGACUAGCUUAUAACGUGGACCUCAGGCCUCCCAUGUGGGGAUAUCUUGCACCCUCGUCAUGAUCAGGUUUCAGAUACAUUUUUACUUUGGCAUACAACUUUUUCCAGGGAUUUGCGGAGUGAAGUCCAAUAAGGUAUUGUCCCUCAAAGAUUUUAUAGUCCAGCUGGGGGAAUGGAAGAAUAAUACACUUUCUGUUGACCAAGUGCAAACCAGGUGUGGGGCCAUCACAGGAGGGUCCCCAAGCCUGGGUCACGCAGGGUGGUCAGAGGUCACUUCCUGGAUUAGGUGCUGAGUAGUAGGAGUUGAAUUACAGAAUUGGAGGAUAAGAGGUUCCCAGUACAUACUUUUGGGUUAUUUGCUGUUGAGCAUUGCUGGUAUACAUACAUGAUGUUAUAGAUGAUUAUAGUUAUUACAUCUUAUUUCAUUAUUUAGUUGCUGUCGUAGGAUUUUUAAUCUUAUACCCAUAGAGUUCACCGUCUUUGAAAAGUCUGAGAUAAAAAGCAAGAAAACAAAACAAACCCCAUGCUUUGUGCCAGCUCAGCUUCUUCCUUGGGAGGGACCAGACAGAGUGGGUUAUCACAAAGCAGGGGUUAAAGAAACCAGUUUCCCACCUCAGGGUCCUGUCCCUGCUUGUGCACUGUGCUGCCCGAGUGUGAGGCUGGGUGAGCACGAGGCCUGCCCACAUGGCCUGCAGAACUGUGGAGGCAGACGGGCUGGUGGGCAGAUCCCCUGUUAAGGUCAAGAGUGGACUCAAACUCUUACAGAGUGAAAGCACAGGAGGCAGCACAAUGUGUGCAUGCU